rnacentral:rRNA from 1 species
AAACACAUACGAGUUUGAUCCUUUGAUCCUGGCUCAGAAUGAACGCUUAGUAACAUGUCUAACACAUGCAAGUCGAAUGGUUUUGCACAAAACCGUGGCGAACGGGUGAGUAAUGCUGAGGAAAUUUACCUUAUAGUCGGGGAUCUCAAUACCGGAUUAAAAGGGCAAAAUUUUGCCUGCUAUAAGAUAGGCCUUAGUAAGAUUAGGUAGUUGGUGGAGAAAAGCCUACCAAGCCGAAGAUCUUUAGCUGAUUUGAGAGGAUGAUCGGCCACAUUGGGACUGAGACACGGCCCAAACUCCCUUGGGAGGCAGCAGUGAAGAAUUUUGGACAAUGAACGAAAGUUUGAUCCAGCAAUGUUACGUGAGUGAAAGAAGGCCAUUUUGGUCGUAAAGCUCUUUCAGUGAAAAAGAUAAUGACUUUUCACAUAAGAAGUCCCGGCUAACUCCGUGCCAGCAGCCGCGGUAAUACGGGGGGGGCGAGCGUUAUUCGGAAUGAUUGGGCGUAAAGGGUCCGUAGGCGGUUUCCUAAGUUAGUUCUAUAAUUUUAUGGGCUCAACCUUAAAAGUGAACUGAGACUAGUGAAACUACGAGUUUGAGAGGGGAUAGUGGAAUUCCUAGUGUAAGUAUAAAAUCUCUAGAUAUUAGGAGGAACACCAGUAGGCGAAGGCGACUAUCUGGCUCAAAACUGACGCUGAGGGACGAAAGUAUGGGUAUCGAAUGGGAUUAGAGACCCCAGUAGUCCAUACCGUAAACGAUGAGUGUUAUAUAUUCGGAUUUUUCAUUUUACUGUAAUUUUAAUUUGUAAAAUUACGGUCGCGCUUCAUAAAUAUAUCUUUUAGAUAUAAAAACGUGCAUUUAAGUCCUGAAUUAACAAGUAUUAGUUAUUAAUUUAACAAUCUUUUUUUAUUUAUUUUUAUUGUUUAACAAUUUUAAAAAUCUGAGUAUAUUUAUAAAUAUUUAUAAAGCUAACGCGUUAAACACUCCGCCUGGGGAGUACAGUCGCAAGACCGAAACUCAAAGGAAUUGACGGGGGCCCACACAAGCGGUGGGGUAUGUGGUUUAAUGCGAUGAUACGCGCAAAACCUUACCAGCUCUUGCAUUUGACUAUGAUAAUUUGAUCUAUAAUGACAUCUUAAAGAAGAUUUUUGCCGACAAAUCUUCAUUACACUACCCUGGUAUCGGAUUGAUUUGUAUGUAACACAAAAUAUGUUACAUUUGGUUAUAUGUUAUGCAAGAUGAAAUAGAUUUCAUCUUUUUAAAUAGAGUCAAACAGGUGUUGCAUGGCUGUCGUCAGCUCGUGUUGUGAAAUGUUUGGUUAAUUCCUUUAACGAGCGUAACCCCUAGAUUUGAGGUUUCAUUUUGAAUUUGCAAAAUUAAAUUUCAAAUCUACUGCCAUUUAUAUAUUAGAGGAAGGUGGGGAUGACGUCAAGUCCGCAUGGCCCUUAUGAGCUGGGCUACACACAUGCUACAAUGGCAAUGACAGUGAGAAGCAAUGGCGUGAGCCGGAGCAAUUCUAUAAACGUUGCCUUAGUACGGAUUGUAGGCUGCAACUCGCCUACAUGAAGUUGGAAUCGCUAGUAAUCGUAGAUCAGCACGCUACGGUGAAUUAGUACUUGGGCCUUGUACAUACCGCCCGUCACACCCUGGAAAUUGUUUCUAAUUGAAGCUUGUUACCUAACCGUAAGGAGGGAAUCUGUGAGAUUGGAGAGAGUGACUGGGGUGAAGUCGUAACAAGGUAGCUGUAGGGGAACCUGCUGCUGGAACUAAUAACAAAAAAAGCUUUUAUAAUAUAAUUCUGAUCUUCUUAUAGACGUUUGAUUGGUCUAUAAGGAAUAUUUAAAAUCAAUCA